rnacentral:rRNA from 1 species
AUUGAACGCUGGCGGCAUGCUUUACACAUGCAAGUCGAACGGUAACAGGCCGCAAGGUGCUGACGAGUGGCGAACGGGUGAGUAAUGCAUCGGAACGUGCCCAGUCGUGGGGGAUAACUACUCGAAAGAGUAGCUAAUACCGCAUACGAUCUAUGGAUGAAAGCGGGGGACCGUAAGGCCUCGCGCGAUUGGAGAGGCCGAUGUCAGAUUAGGUAGUUGGGGGGGUAAAGGCGCCCCAAGCCAACGAUCUGUAGCUGGUCUGAGAGGACGACCAGCCACACUGGGACUGAGACACGGCCCAGACUCCUACGGGAGGCAGCAGUGGGGAAUUUUGGACAAUGGGCGCAAGCCUGAUCCAGCAAUGCCGCGUGCAGGAAGAAGGCCUUCGGGUUGUAAACUGCUUUUGUACGGAACGAAACGGCUCUGGUUAAUACCCGGGGCUAAUGACGGUACCGUAAGAAUAAGCACCGGCUAACUACGUG